rnacentral:misc_RNA from 1 species
GAUGAAGAACGCAGCGAAAUGCGAUAAGUAAUGUGAAUUGCAGAAUUCAGUGAAUCAUCGAAUCUUUGAACGCACAUUGCGCCCGCCAGUAUUCUGGCGGGCAUGCCUGUUCGAGCGUCAUUUCAACCAUCAAGCCCCCGGCUUGUGUUGGGGACCUGCGGCUGCCGCAGGCCCUGAAAACCAGUGGCGGGCUCGCUAGUCACUCCGAGCGUAGUAAUACAUCUCGCUCAGGGCGUGCUGCGGGUUCCGGCCGUUAAAAAAGCCUUAUUUACCCAAGGUUGACCUCGGAUCAGGUAGGAGGACCCGCUGAACUUAAGCAUAUCAAUAAGCGGAGGA